UAACAAACAUGAUGAAAACAAGCAGAGUCUAAGAUCUACUACUAGGAAGGAGUAGAUACCUCAUCUGAAACUAUAAGCGCAUCAACGAUCUUAGUAUUUCUACUAGCCGCCACCAUAGUAGCCAUCAUCUGAUCCUUGAGCUUAGGGCAAUCUCUGACAUGAUGUCCUAACUCAUCACAUCAGUAGCAUCUGAUCUUGCUGUAGUCUCUCAUCUUGAAAUUGGAUCACCCACGUUGCAAUCCCCUAUUGCUUCAUCUUCUACCGCCAUGUCCUCUAGUCACUGCCAUAGCUGAGUCACCGCCUGGACUCGAAGUUUGAUUCUCUCACC
rnacentral:lncRNA from 1 species